GGCAUGAGCACAAGUGGCAAGGCCCCAUGGAUAAAAGGCUGAACACCCAGAGCCAUUCAGGAGGGUGUGGGUCCCUGGCCUCUAACCAAAGGUCAGAGGGGACCGGCUGGGAAAGUUUGGACUGAGGGACAUGACAGGGCAUGGUGGCCCUGCCAGCCAGUCCCCUCACCCUGACUCUCUUCUGCAGGUGCGUGAUGAAGAUCUUUUGUCUUCUUCUGAAGAGGAGUGCAAGGAUAGGUACGUAGUGGGGAAGCCCAGGGACGGGCUGGUUCUGGGCCCAGGCUCCUGGCCCACUUGCUCCCCUCUUUUGCCUCAGGGAACGCCCCAUGUAUGGCCGGGACAGUGCCUACCAGAGCAUCACGCACUACCGCCCUGUUUCAGCCUCCAGGAGCUCCCUGGACCUGUCUUAUUAUCCUACUUCCUCCUCCACCUCUUUUAUGUCCUCCUCAUCAUCGUCUUCAUGGCUCACCCGCCGUGCCAUCCGGCCUGAAAACCAUGCUCCUGGGGCUGGGCUGGGCCAGGAUCGCCAGGUCCCGCUCUGGGGCCAGCUGCUGCUUUUCCUGGUCUUUGUGAUCGUCCUCUUCUUCAUUUACCACUUCAUGCAGGCUGAAGAAGGCAACCCCUUCUAGAGGGAGCCGCAAGGGUCUGGGCUUCAGAGCCAGGUCUUUGGGGAAGUCCUGGCUGACUGCCUUAGCAGUGGGGGUGGGGGUGGGGGGGGCAGGGGCAGGGGCUUUUAUGUGUUUUUGCUUGGGGGGCGCUGGGCCUAGCCCAGAGUAGUGCUUGCUCCCCCUGCCUUGUCCCACCAGGGAGGCAGCAGACUCAGGCCCUCCAUGGUCCUCUUUGUCAUCUUGUUGAUAUGCAUUCCUCCUUUUGUCAUCU
rnacentral:sRNA from 1 species